rnacentral:rRNA from 1 species
UUCGAUUCUGGCUCAGGAUGAACGCUAGCGGCAGGCCUAACACAUGCAAGUCGAGCGGUAGGGGACUCGGUUCCCGAGAGCGGCGCACGGGUGCGUAACGCGUAUGCAACCUGCCCUACACAGGGGAAUAGCCCGUCGAAAGGCGGAUUAAUGCCCCAUGGUCUUGGAGAGGGGCCUCCCUUUCCAAGUAAAGAUUUAUCGGUGUAGGAUGGGCAUGCGUGCCAUUAGCUAGUCGGUGGGUAACGGCCCACCGAGGCGACGAUGGCUAGGGGUUCUGAGAGGAAGGCCCCCCACACUGGGACUGAGACACGGCCCAGACUCCUACGGGAGGCAGCAGUGAGGAAUAUUGGUCAAUGGGCGGAAGCCUGAACCAGCCAUGCCGCGUGCGGGAAGAAGGCGCUACGCGUCGUAAACCGCUUUUGUCUGGGGGUAAACGCAGGGACGUGUCCCUGCCUGCAAGUACCAGACGAAUAAGGGUCGGCUAACUCCGUGCCAGCAGCAGC